GACGAACGCUGGCGGCGUGCUUAACACAUGCAAGUCGAACGGAAAGGCCCUGCUUGCAGGGUGCUCGAGUGGCGAACGGGUGAGUAACACGUGGGUGAUCUGCCCCUUACUUUGGGAUAAGCCUGGGAAACUGGGUCUAAUACUGGAUAGGACCAUGCUGUAGGUGGUGUGGUGGAAAGAUUAGUUUCGGUAAGGGAUGAGCUCGCGGCCUAUCAGCUUGUUGGCGGGGUAAUGGCCUACCAAGGCGUCGACGGGUAGCCGGCCUGAGAGGGUGGACGGCCACAUGGGGACUGCGAUACGGCCCAGACUCCUACGGGAGGCAGCAGUGGGGAAUAUUGCACAAUGGGCGCAAGCCUGAUGCAGCGACGCCGCGUGGGGGAUGACGGCCUUCGGGUUGUAAACUCCUUUCAGCCAUGACGAAGCCCUUGUGGUGACGGUAGUGGUAGAAGAAGCACCGGCUAACUACGUG
rnacentral:rRNA from 1 species